rnacentral:tRNA from 1 species
UCCCUGGGGGUCCAGUGGUUAAGACUCUGCAAUUCCACUGCAGGAGUCACGGUUCGAUCCCUGAUCAGGGAA